CAUUGGCUAUGAUCAAAGUUAAGUUUGAGCUAUUAACGUUUCAUGAAUAAGGGUCAUGGCUAGCUAUUCUCGAAGCGUUCGUAGCCCUACGAACUUCUUAAGCCCAUACUUAACACAUUGGCUACGAUCAAAGUUAAGAAUUCCUAGGGCUACGCACGUUUCAAGAAUAAGAGCCCUGUUUCUUUUCAUUGUUUAA